AGCAGCCGCGGUAAUUCCAGCUCCAAUAGCGUAUAUUAAAGUUGUUGCAGUUAAAAAGCUCGUAGUUGAAUUUCGGGGUUAGUAGGUUGGUCAUGCCUCUGGUAUGUACUGGUCUCACUGAUUCCUCCUUCCUGAUGAACCUUAAUGCCAUUUAUUUGGUGUUUUGGGGAAUUUGGACUGUUACUUUGAAAAAAUUAGAGUGUUUAAAGCAAGCUAACGCUUGAAUACAUUAGCAUGGAAUAAUGAAAUAGGACGUUCGAUCCUAUUUUGUUGGUUUCUAGGAUUGACGUAAUGAUUAAUAGGGAUAGUUGGGGGCAUUAGUAUUCAAUUGUCAGAGGUGAAAUUCUUGGAUUUAUUGAAGACUAACUACUGCGAAAGCAUUUGCCAAGGAUGUUUUCAUUAAUCAAGAACGAAAGUUAGGGGAUCGAAGACGAUCAGAUACCGUCGUAGUCUUAACCAUAAACUAUGCCGACUAGGGAUCGGAUGAUGUUAAUUUUUAAU
rnacentral:rRNA from 1 species